CCUAUGUUUUUUGAGUAUCCCAGGAACUUCACUGCUUCAGUUUUCACAUUUGAUGAAAAUGAAAAGUAGAGACAGCAAUGAGACCUAACGCCAGUGCUCUUCAAAUGACAACAUGCUUCCACAAAAUCCAUAGCAUGUCCAGCCAAACAAGGUGGAUACAGCAUCUCAGAGGAUGAGAGAGACCGAGGACAACACAAAGACAAAAAUGAAGAAAAGAAAUUUCAUAGGAUAACAUGGAGAAAUGCAUUCCAAUGUAGCACUGGACAGUGUCCAGAAGAACAAAGAAAGUGGAAAAAGGAAAGGAAAAUCAAACUGUGGACUUCUUGCCUGCUGGAUGGAUACCAAGAAACCUGACAGUGGGUGCAGGAGAUAUGACAUACAGAGCAAGAUGAGAGGAGUAAAAAAACCAAUUGUCUUCCACAGAGACACCUACAAGUCACAGUAGGUUCUCAGAAGAAUGAACUCCAAAUUCUUCUCUUAACUGUCAUUUUGCUCUAAUGAAACCUGUGACCCUCCUGUCAACCUCCACAAGCGCAAUCUUAUAAAAUGGAAAAUAAUAUAAUAUAAUCUGCUCUGAAAAGGUAAACAUCUAGUAUUAGAAAGUAGCUGACUGUGUGUAAUCAUAGAGGACACAGCCACGAUUCCUCUGUUCUCCCAAAUGCUUUUUAUAUGUUUGUAAACAUAUGAAGCACAUGAAUCAGAGUAUUCAUAUAUGGUGUUCCACUUAAUAAAAAAAUGGCACCAGCUGGCCUUGCA
rnacentral:lncRNA from 1 species